rnacentral:rRNA from 1 species
UACAGAGGUCCCGAGCGUUGUUCGGAUUCACUGGGCGUAAAGGGUGCGUAGGUGGCUGGGAAAGUUUGAUGUGAAAGCUCAGGGCUUAACCCUGAAAUGGCAUUGAAUACUGCCUGGCUGGAGGUUUGGAGGGGGGACUGGAAUUCUUGGUGUAGCAGUGAAAUGCGUAGAUAUCGAGAGGAACACCAGUGGCGAAGGCGGGUCCCUGGACAACACCUGACACUGAGGCACGAAAGCUAGGGGAGCAAACAGG